UCAAUAACGAAGCCGUAUUUUAAAGUGUCGUAAGGUAAAUAAAGACGUCAAAGCUCUGUGCUGCGUUCACGUGUUGAUCACCACGUCAAACAUCGAGCAGUUGCCAUGGCAACUAGAGGUUUGACUGACCACUCAUCAACUAGCAUCAUGACUGAGCGCUGGGUACUUUGUUUUUAAAAAAAACUACACUCUUCAUGAUGAAUUCACGGUUUUACAUUUACGUCAGUUUUACUUUACGGGAGGUACGUGAAGUCAACAGUUGGUGCGUGAUGACGACAGCAAACAUGGCGGACGUGUCUCUGCGAGCAGAGCUGCAGCUCAAAGACGGACAGAGACAGAAAAUCAGCGUUCAACUUCAAAACACACUUUGUUCUCUCAUGUGUGGAAUUAACGAGCUGAACGUGAACGUUUCACAGCUACUCACUCAGCUAGUGGACAAAGAAAAAGACACUCGACACUGCGACAAAGGUGAUGAAGAGGAGGACAGUGAUGAAGAAGAGGAGUCACUGUGUCAGCGUCCUCCAGUGAAAAGACUGAAACCCUGAAACACCUGCUGUCGACUGUCAGAUGAUCAGUGAAAUCAAAUAAAGGCGUCUUCUUGUU